UACGUAGGGGGCAAGCGUUGUCCGGAUUUAUUGGGCGUAAAGAGCGUGUAGGCGGCCAGGUAGGUCUGCUGUGAAAACUCGAGGCUCAACCUCGAGAUGUCGGCGGAAACCAUCUGGCUAGAGUCCGGAAGAGGAGAAUGGAAUUCCCGGUGUAGCGGUGAAAUGCGCAGAUAUCGGGAAGAACACCCGUGGCGAAGGCGGUUCUCUGGGACGGUACUGACGCUGAGACGCGAAAGCGUGGGAGCGAACAGG
rnacentral:rRNA from 1 species